rnacentral:rRNA from 1 species
CCCUGGCAGUCAGAGGCGAUGAAGGACGUGCUAAUCUGCGAUAAGCGUCGGUAAGGUGAUAUGAACCGUUAUAACCGGCGAUUUCCGAAUGGGGAAACCCAGUGUGAUUCGUCACACUAUCAUUAACUGAAUCCAUAGGUUAAUGAGGCGAACCGGGGGAACUGAAACAUCUAAGUACCCCGAGGAAAAGAAAUCAACCGAGAUUCCCCCAGUAGCGGCGAGCGAACGGGGAGCAGCCCAGAGCCUGAAUCAGUGUGUGUGUUAGUGGAAGCGUCUGGAAAGGCGUGCGAUACAGGGUGACAGCCCCGUACACAAAAAUGCACAUACUGUGAGCUCGAUGAGUAGGGCGGGACACGUGGUAUCCUGUCUGAAUAUGGGGGGACCAUCCUCCAAGGCUAAAUACUCCUGACUGACCGAUAGUGAACCAGUACCGUGAGGGAAAGGCGAAAAGAACCCCGGCGAGGGGAGUGAAAAAGAACCUGAAACCGUGUACGUACAAGCAGUGGGAGCACGCUUAGGCGUGUGACUGCGUACCUUUUGUAUAAUGGGUCAGCGACUUAUAUUCUGUAGCAAGGUUAACCGAAUAGGGGAGCCGAAGGGAAACCGAGUCUUAACUGGGCGUUAAGUUGCAGGGUAUAGACCCGAAACCCGGUGAUCUAGCCAUGGGCAGGUUGAAGGUUGGGUAACACUAACUGGAGGACCGAACCGACUAAUGUUGAAAAAUUAGCGGAUGACUUGUGGCUGGGGGUGAAAGGCCAAUCAAACCGGGAGAUAGCUGGUUCUCCCCGAAAGCUAUUUAGGUAGCGCCUCGUGAAUUCAUCUCCGGGGGUAGAGCACUGUUUCGGCAAGGGGGUCAUCCCGACUUACCAACCCGAUGCAAACUGCGAAUACCGGAGAAUGUUAUCACGGGAGACACACGGCGGGUGCUAACGUCCGUCGUGAAGAGGGAAACAACCCAGACCGCCAGCUAAGGUCCCAAAGUCAUGGUUAAGUGGGAAACGAUGUGGGAAGGCCCAGACAGCCAGGAUGUUGGCUUAGAAGCAGCCAUCAUUUAAAGAAAGCGUAAUAGCUCACUGGUCGAGUCGGCCUGCGCGGAAGAUGUAACGGGGCUAAACCAUGCACCGAAGCUGCGGCAGCGACGCUUAUGCGUUGUUGGGUAGGGGAGCGUUCUGUAAGCCUGUGAAGGUGUGCUGUGAGGUAUGCUGGAGGUAUCAGAAGUGCGAAUGCUGACAUAAGUAACGAUAAAGCGGGUGAAAAGCCCGCUCGCCGGAAGACCAAGGGUUCCUGUCCAACGUUAAUCGGGGCAGGGUGAGUCGACCCCUAAGGCGAGGCCGAAAGGCGUAGUCGAUGGGAAACAGGUUAAUAUUCCUGUACUUGGUGUUACUGCGAAGGGGGGACGGAGAAGGCUAUGUUGGCCGGGCGACGGUUGUCCCGGUUUAAGCGUGUAGGCUGGUUUUCCAGGCAAAUCCGGAAAAUCAAGGCCGAGGCGUGAUGACGAGGCACUACGGUGCUGAAGCAACAAAUGCCCUGGCUUCCAGGAAAAGCCUCUAAGCAUCAGGUAACAUCAAAUCGUACCCCAAACCGACACAGGUGGUCAGGUAGAGAAUACCAAGGCGCUUGGAGAGAACUCGGGUGAAGGAACUAGGCAAAAUGGUGCCGUAACUUCGGGAGAAGGCACGCUGAUACGUAGGUGAAGCGACUUGCUCGUGGAGCUGAAAUCAGUCGAAGAUACCAGCUGGCUGCAACUGUUUAUUAAAAACACAGCACUGUGCAAACACGAAAGUGGACGUAUACGGUGUGACGCCUGCCCGGUGCCGGAAGGUUAAUUGAUGGGGUUAGCGCAAGCGAAGCUCUUGAUCGAAGCCCCGGUAAACGGCGGCCGUAACUAUAACGGUCCUAAGGUAGCGAAAUUCCUUGUCGGGUAAGUUCCGACCUGCACGAAUGGCGUAAUGAUGGCCAGGCUGUCUCCACCCGAGACUCAGUGAAAUUGAACUCGCUGUGAAGAUGCAGUGUACCCGCGGCAAGACGGAAAGACCCCGUGAACCUUUACUAUAGCUUGACACUGAACAUUGAGCCUUGAUGUGUAGGAUAGGUGGGAGGCUUUGAAGUGUGGACGCCAGUCUGCAUGGAGCCGACCUUGAAAUACCACCCUUUAAUGUUUGAUGUUCUAACGUGGACCCGUGAUCCGGGUUGCGGACAGUGUCUGGUGGGUAGUUUGACUGGGGCGGUCUCCUCCUAAAGAGUAACGGAGGAGCACGAAGGUUGGCUAAUCCUGGUCGGACAUCAGGAGGUUAGUGCAAUGGCAUAAGCCAGCUUGACUGCGAGCGUGACGGCGCGAGCAGGUGCGAAAGCAGGUCAUAGUGAUCCGGUGGUUCUGAAUGGAAGGGCCAUCGCUCAACGGAUAAAAGGUACUCCGGGGAUAACAGGCUGAUACCGCCCAAGAGUUCAUAUCGACGGCGGUGUUUGGCACCUCGAUGUCGGCUCAUCACAUCCUGGGGCUGAAGUAGGUCCCAAGGGUAUGGCUGUUCGCCAUUUAAAGUGGUACGCGAGCUGGGUUUAGAACGUCGUGAGACAGUUCGGUCCCUAUCUGCCGUGGGCGCUGGAGAACUGAGGGGGGCUGCUCCUAGUACGAGAGGACCGGAGUGGACGCAUCACUGGUGUUCGGGUUGUCAUGCCAAUGGCACUGCCCGGUAGCUAAAUGCGGAAGAGAUAAGUGCUGAAAGCAUCUAAGCACGAAACUUGCCCCGAGAUGAGUUCUCCCUGACCCUUUAAGGGUCCUGAAGGAACGUUGAAGACGACGACGUUGAUAGGCCGGGUGUGUAAGCGCAGCGAUGCGUUGAGCUAACCGGUACUAAUGAACCGUGAGGCUUAACCUUACAACGCCGAAGAUGUUUUGGCGGAUUGAG